rnacentral:tRNA from 3 species
GGACGAUUAGCUCAGUUGGCUAGAGCGUUACAUUGACAUUGUAAAGGCCACAGGUUCGAGUCCUGUAUCGUCCACCA